AUGAAAUAUGACUUAUAGGAGUAAGAGCUGUUUUUUGGGACCUGAGAGACAUGUUCCUGCUGCAAUUGUAUCGUGGUGAUGUUGAAGGUGCUCGCUUGGAGAGUUUUCUUCCAUACAUAGAUACCGUUCUCAAUCAUAUAUGUGGUUUGAUAGAUGACACUGUUAGAGAUCUUGUGGUUUUAAGCAUUUUUCGAUCUGUACUGCAUGCCUAUGUGGGGGUAUUGCUUGAUGGAGGACCUUCCAGAGCAUUUUCUGAUUCAGAUAUCAUGAUGAUGGAAGAUGAUCUAAAUAUCUUAAAGG